GAGGGUAUAGCUCAGUGAUAGAGUGCAUGAUUAGCAUGUAUGAGGUCCUUGGUUCAAUUUCCAGUAUCUCCA
rnacentral:tRNA from 1 species